rnacentral:rRNA from 1 species
UACAGAGGUCUCAAGCGUUGUUCGGAUUCAUUGGGCGUAAAGGGCGCGUAGGCGGCUCGGCACGUCCGUUGUGAAAUCGCCCGGCUCAACUGGGCGGGGUCAGCGGAUACGGCCGAGCUUGAGCAAGCUAGGGGGCAAUGGAAUCCCGGUGUAGUGGUGGAAUGCGUAGAUAUCGGGAGGAACACCAGUGGCGAAGGCGGUUGCCUGGAGCUUUGCUGACGCUGAUGCGCGAAAGCGUGGGGAGCGAUCCGG